UACGGAGGGUGCAAGCGUUAUCCGGAUUCACUGGGUUUAAAGGGUGCGUAGGUGGGUUGAUAAGUCAGUGGUGAAAUCCCCGAGCUUAACUUGGGAACUGCGUCUGAUACUGGAUGGCUUGAGUUCGGGAGAGGGAUGCGGAAUUCCAGGUGUAGCGGUGAAAUGCGUAGAUAUCUGGAGGAACACCGGUGGCGAAGGCGGCAUCCUGGACCGACACUGACACUGAGGAGCGAAAGCCAGGGGAGCAAACGGG
rnacentral:rRNA from 1 species